CACCACGCCCGGAUAAUUUUUUUUUUUUUUUUUUUAGUGGAGAUGGGGUUUCACUGUAUUAGCCAGGAUGGUCUUGAUCUCCUGACCUCGUGAUCUGCCCACCUCGGCCUCCCAAAGUUUUGGUAUUACAGGCGUGAGCCACUGCGCCCAGCCUCCAGCAUGAUUUUUUUAGGGCGUUCUUUUGUGUGAAAUAAUUCAAGGAUCCACUCUAACUGCCUGCCUGACCGGUUUUUUCCUUUCUCCUCUCUCAUCAGGUCCCUGGUUCCCAUGACUGCAGCUUCCUGAAGAGCAGAGAUUUGGUAUCCUGCUCACAGCGCCAAAACUGCAGGGGCCAAGGAAAGGUACAAAAUUCUUGUGUGCAGCCUCUUUUGGACUCCAGCUCUUGUUCUCUUGCUGAAUCCCACCCCCACCCAUUCAAGUCAUAGGCUGUGAUUCACCUGUGGGCUUCUGAAGGCUAGAAGCUUCCACAGUGAGCCAGGAAACAAGUUCUGAUUGGCUGGAAACAGACCCCUGCUCCAAGAUUCGGGGCUGGCAGUAUUCCUUCUGUUCUGGUGGCUCAGUCCUCAUGACUUUCCUCUGGACUUGCAAGUUAUUCCAACAAACCCCAGCUGCUCUGCAGUGAAAUGUUCCAAAUAAUUAAUAUUUCUGCAGGAAUUACCUUGUAAAAGAUAUGUGCUUUUAAGCAUUUGGUAGUGCAAAUGUUUUUGACUGCCUUUUGUGGCCAAUUUUCUCCUUCAGCGGGACUCAUGUAUAAUUUUAGAUAAAAGUACAAGGAAAUUAUAUUUCCAUAAUCAUAAGUCUUCUUUCAGCAAUACACGUAUCUUCAGAGAAUCCCAGUCUCCCUGCAGCAUCCUCCUGGUGCACAGACAAAAACUGCUGAAUUCUGGCAAGAUACUCAAAGGAUUCUGACAGGUGACCAUCUCAGGCCAGAGAUAUGCCCAACCAACUGGAGAAGCAGAGACAGCCAUGGACAGAUCUGCUGAUGCUGAAGUAUAUAGACAGCUGAGGUACAACCCGUAUAAUCACCCAGAUGUUAUUAGGCCAUGAUCAUUCUGUAGUUAGCUACCUCCCUUCUGUGUUUCCUCUCACCUGAGAACCUAUUGUGGCCACUUCCAAGGCCCCACUGUGUCCAAAUCACACCACCACCAAAGCUCACAGAAACACGCUGGUAGAUUUCUCCUCUUUGGUGGUUUCCCAUGACCAGCCAAGCGAAAUACCCAACAGUCAUUCUCAGUGCGCACAGAUUUACCUUCAGUUUUUUUGGUUAUAUUGUCAUUAUUAUGACAAAGAACAUAUUAUUAUUAUAUGUUCUUUGCCAAGUGGGAGAGUUAAGGGGCCUGCUAUGGACUGAACUCUGUCCCCCUCAAAUUCAUAUGUUGAAGCCCCAACCUUCAAUGUUACUAUAUUUGGAAACGGUCCCUUUAUGGAGGUAAAGUUAAAUGAGAUCAGAAGAGUGGGGCCCUUGUUCGACAGAAUUGGUGUCCUUACAAGAAAAGGAAGAGGCUGAGUGCAGUGGCUCACACCUAUAAUCCCAGCACUUUGGGAAGCUGAGGCGGGAGGUACGCUUGGGCCCAGGAGUUCAAGACCAGCUUGAGCAAUGUAACAAGACUCUAUCUCUACAGAAAA